AAACCAAUAGGCCCGAUGGGGUCUGUGUUGGGCGUCGCCCUGGGGCGUCGCUUGGAAUCCAUCGGUCGAACGUGGCGGACGUGAUCCAUUAGGACUGACCGCCCCGGGACCUUAAAUCUCAG
rnacentral:misc_RNA from 1 species